rnacentral:tRNA from 1 species
GCUCGCCUGGCCCGUGGGCCUGGCCCUCGCGCUGCCGACGCGGGGUUUCCGGCAGGAGAUCCGCGACCUGUUCGACCGUGUGAGCGAGUAC